AUUGAACGCUGGCGGCGGGCCUAACACAUGCAAGUCGAGCGAGCGGCGGACGGGUGAGUACAGUAUGGGGACCGCCCGAUAGCGGGGGUUAACUACAGGAAACGGCAGCUAAUACCGCAUCCUAUCUGCACUACCAUAUGGGAUACGCUAGUAGGGUCGGUAAUGGCUCACAUUGGCGACGAACCCUAGCUGGUCUGAGAGGAUGAUCAGCCACACUGGAACUGAGACACGGCCCAGACUCCUACGGAGGAAGCAGUGGGGAAUAUUGCACAAUGGGCGCAAGCCUGAUGCAGCAAUGCCGCGUGUAUGAAGAAGGCCCUAGGGUUGUAAAGUCCUUUCAGUCGGGAGGCGUUACCGACAGAAGAAGCACCGGCUAACUCCGUGCCAGCAGCCGCGGUAAUUC
rnacentral:rRNA from 1 species